GUGAGCAUUAUGGCAGAGCUAGUAAUGUCCGCAUCACCUUCAAAUGUGAUCUUGGACUGUGAGGCUGGAUCGAAGCUAGGGAAGUUGAAGGAGAGCGAGGUUGCCAAUGGCACAACUAUUGCCAAGAAGAGAACAGCAAAAAGAAAUGGUUUGUGGGAGAGCUUCGAGCUUCUUCCAAAACUUGUAAAUCAGGCAUACAAGGACAUGUAGACCGAACAUGGUCAAAGUCUUCUGUUCAAGACUUGAAAGGUCAUUAUCUAUUUGGAAGUCAAAGAGGCUAAUUUUACCAAUACAUUUAAUGGGAAAAGGACAAGUGGCAGUAUUGAAAGGGCUAAAGCUCCCAAGAAAGACCAACCACAAUCAAUAAGAGGUCAACCGCAAUAUUUUAAACUAUACUAAUUGUUUCUCAUUUUUUUUUAGUUUCUCUUUUAAUUAUCAAGUUUCACUGACCAUUAUUAUUAAACUAUGCCUCUAAUUUUAUUAUAAUUACAUCCAUUAAUCUGUUAGCGUUUUUU